rnacentral:rRNA from 1 species
CGCACGGGUGAGUAACACGUAUCCAACCUGCCGUCUACUCUUGGACAGCCUUCUGAAAGGAAGAUUAAUACAAGAUGGCAUCAUGAGUCCGCAUGUUCACAUGAUUAAAGGUAUUCCGGUAGACGAUGGGGAUGCGUUCCAUUAGAUAGUAGGCGGGGUAACGGCCCACCUAGUCUUCGAUGGAUAGGGGUUCUGAGAGGAAGGUCCCCCACAUUGGAACUGAGACACGGUCCAAACUCCUACGGGAGGCAGCA